ACUUCUUUAAAAGACCAAGCAAGAGGCUGUGUAUGUAUAAAAUUUUGCUCGCCCAUCCUUUCCAUGAAACAUUUGUGAUUUAAGCUUUAAGAAUCUUUGUGGGAUGAUUCUCCCCUCUUCCCAUUGCAAUAGACUUCUUAAUAAAAUGUUUUCAAGUUCCUGUCCAGAUUGGAUGACUUACUAUAGUGGUAAUGGUGCCAUGAUUUGAACAAAAUUCUGGCUGCCCCUCAACUGUUGUUUUUCUUCAACUUGCUGUGAUUGGACAGUAUGCUGACUUCCAGCCUGCUCUCUUCAGGCAAGUGGUGGUGCUGUCUCGUUAAACUCUUUGAAACCUGACUUGGAAAGCAAAAUCAAAAAUGGUAGACAACAAUCUUUAAUGAAAGUAUAAAUAAAGGAGCAUUUGGAACGAC